rnacentral:lncRNA from 1 species
GACUCUGUGUGUGUGUGUGUGUUUGCAGAGUGCAGUGUGCGCUUUGUUCAGGUGUGUUUGGAUGUGGAUGCAUCUGCUCUGCUGUGUGUGUGUGAUGCAGCACUGCAGCGACCUCUGACCUCUAUAGAUGGCGCUCUUCAUCCCAUCGGACACAGCGGCGCUACGAGCCUCAUGACAGCGCUGAGCGCACUCAUGCUAGUGACGCAGGAUCUGAUGGUCAGCGCCGCUCUGAACUGUCUCAGGUCUCUGAUGGGAUUUCUGCGCAGACGGAGCCCUGAAACCGCGCAGCACAUGGUGUGUCAGCCGUGGAUGCGGUUCCUGCUCUUCUCUUUACUCUCCUGUGACCAGAGACUGAGACCUGCAGCGCUGCAGCUGCUCACACAGCUGGUGUGUUUCAGCGGUGGCGUCUCACACUGGAGGACUGAAGUUGAGUCUGUGUGUGAAGAGAUUGAGAAAGAAGGAGCGACGAACCUCACCGAUGACAGCACACACACACUGAGACUGAUGCUCACACAGUGUUGUGCUCUUUCUCCUCCUGAUGAUCUGAGGAUGAGGAUGGAGGCUAUACAAGAGUCACUAAGACAUCUUCCUCCCUCUGAGAGCUCGAGCAGACACAUGCUGUAUCCUUAAUACACACACACACACACACACACACACACUCAAACACACACAAAUGAUGCUUUCCUUAAUAGUGUGUGUCAGUCGGGUUGGACGGGUCUCUGUCUGUCUGUCUGACUUCACAAUCAGCACUCAGGACCUAUGAAACACACACACACACACACACACACACACUCAAACACACACAAAUGAUGCUUUCCUUAAUAGUGUGUGUCAGUCGGGUUGGACGCGUCUCUGUCUGUCUGUCUGACUUCACAAUCAGCACUCAGGACCUAUGAAACACACACACACACACACACACACACACACACACACAAUAACACAAUUCUGAUGACUUUGACUUCUGUUCCUGCUGAAGAUGUUUGUUACUGAAAUAUAUCUUAUAUGCCUAUUUAUUUAGAUUAAUAAUAAUCAGUUAUGUAAUAUUUAUCAUUUGUUAUUGUUGAAAUAUUUUAUUAUAUCAUUUGUUUAGUAACAGAAAAGGUUAUGUUUAAUUAUUGCUAUUAAUAAGUAGUUACUCAGCUGUCAUUU